CCCAUUGGUCUGGAUAACUGCGGGAAACUGCAGCUAAUACCGGAUGUACCCGCGAGGGGAAAGAUUUAUCGCCGAUGGAGGGGCCCGCGUCAGAUUAGGUAGUUGGUGAGGUAACGGCUCACCAAGCCUACGAUCUGUAGCUGGUCUGAGAGGAUGAUCAGCCACACUGGGACUGAGAUACGGCCCAGACUCCUACGGGAGGCAGCAGUGGGGAAUAUUGGACAAUGGGGGCAACCCUGAUCCAGCAAUGCCGCGUGAGUGAUGAAGGCCUUAGGGUUGUAAAGCUCUUUUGCCAGGGACGAUGAUGACGGUACCUGGAGAAUAAGCCCCGGCUAACUUCGUGCCAGCAGCCGCGGUAAUACGAAGGGGGCUAGCGUUGUUCGGAAUUACUGGGCGUAAAGGGCGCGUAGGCGGCCGUUCAAGUCAGAUGUGAAAGUCCUGGGCUUAACCUGGGGACUGCAUUUGAUACUGGAUGGCUUGAAUUCGGGAGAGGAUAGCGGAAUUCCCAGUGUAGAGGUGAAAUUCGUAGAUAUUGGGAAGAACACCGGUGGCGAAGGCGGCUAUCUGGACCGACAUUGACGCUGAGGCGCGAAAGCGUGGGGAGCAAACAGGAUUAGAUACCCUGGUAGUC
rnacentral:rRNA from 1 species